rnacentral:rRNA from 1 species
UACGAAGGGGGCUAGCGUUGCUCGGAAUCACUGGGCGUAAAGGGUGCGUAGGCGGGUCUUUAAGUCAGGGGUGAAAUCCUGGAGCUCAACUCCAGAACUGCCUUUGAUACUGAAGAUCUUGAGUUCGGGAGAGGUGAGUGGAACUGCGAGUGUAGAGGUGAAAUUCGUAGAUAUUCGCAAGAACACCAGUGGCGAAGGCGGCUCACUGGCCCGAUACUGACACUGAGGAGCGAAAGCCAGGGGAGCAAACGGG